CCUACGGGAGGCAGCAGUGAGGAAUAUUGGUCAAUGGUCGUAAGACGGAACCAGCCAAGUCGCGUGAGGGAGGAAGGUACAGUGGAUCGUAAACCUCUUUUAUAAGGGAAUAAAGGGGGGGACGUGUCCCGGGUUGAGUGUACCUGAAGAAAAAGGAUCGGCUAACUCCGUGCCAGCAGCCGCGGUAAUACGGAGGAUGCGAGCGUUAUCCGGAUUUAUUGGGUUUAAAGGGUGCGUAGGCGGUCUUUUAAGUCAGCGGUGAAAGUCCGGGGCUCAAACCCGGAAGGGCCGUUGAAACUGGGAGGCUCGAGUAUGUGUGAGGCAUGCGGAAUGCGUGGUGUAGCGGUGAAAUGCUUAGAUAUCACGCAGAACCCCGAUUGCGAAGGCAGCCUGCCAGGCCCUGACUGACGCUGAUGCACGAAAGCGUGGGGAUCAAACAGGAUUAGAUACCCUAGUAGUC
rnacentral:rRNA from 1 species